AGUACCAUCGGUCUUUCUGGUGUCAUCACCGACCAGGACACCAGUUCGGCCAGUUGAGAAAUCGCCCUCUGCAAGUGUGAAGCGACGGAGGACCAGAAGUAGUGCUCGGAGUAAGAAUAAGCGAUGCUCGUAGCCACGCAGACGUAACGUCCCGAGUCUGACACCGUGGCUGAAAGGAUUUCUAUUUUACUCCCCUGCUCGAGAAGACGGACGCUUUCACCAUCGCGCACAGGAACUCCGUCCUUCAGCCAUGUGAGAGAGGGGGGAGGGUGUCCCCCAGCCUCACACUCCAGAAUCAGAGGCUUACUGAGAACCACUUUCCUCUCAGUUGGCCCGUCCUCACCCCCAGCAAUGGUAGGAGGCACUGGGGGGGGGGAAAGAACAUUAAAAAGGGAACAGAACAAAAGAAGGGUUAAGGCUUCAAAUACUUUUUCUGCUUAACUGAUGUCUUAUUUACAUCUCACACUCAAGGCUUUCAAAAGCCAACUACAUGUACAAUUGCUUUAUGCAUCAAGUCCUGUAGUCUGUAUCCAUUGUUGUGCUCCUAGAAGAUCAAGGAUUUUAUUUUCGCAUUUAAUUGUUUGCCAAAUAUGCACAGCUGUUUGAAAUUAUUCUUGCCUGUUGCAAAGGUCUUUAUGGUUUGUGAUUGAAACCAAAUGCCUUAAAGCCUUGAAAAUCUGAUUUAAUGUCACAAUGUGCUCUCGAUUUUUUUAACUCACAUGGUAAAUAUUAACUUCUAAAAGCCUUUUGUUUUAGGUAGACAAAAAAAGACACAGAGAAAAACAAAUAUGUGUAUAGAUUAUAAGAUGUCAGAUGUGAAAUUCUUACAGUAGACGUCCAGUACAAAGCUCUUCUCAGCGCUCCCGGCCACACUGGUCACCUUGCAGGUGAACAGGCCCGCAUCUGAUGCCUGCGCGCGGGGGAACUUCAGGUAGUGGCCCCGCUCGACGUACUGAACCUGUCUGUUGGACAGGAUGGCCUCUCCGUUUCGAUACCAGGUGAUGGAAGGAAGCGGCACUCCGCGAGCCUCACACUCCAGUGUUACUGUCGUGUCCAGCAGGGCUGUGGCCUCUGUGGUGAUGUUACCGCCUUUGAUGGAGGGGGGCACUGGAACAAUACCACAAAACUGUGUGAGUAAGCUGUAUUUCGUCAUGUGAGGUUACCAAAUAAAGAGUAGGCUCUGCAUAUAAGUACAUGACUGUGUAGUAUGUGUCAAAACUCACCAUAAACACUGACGUUAAUUUCCUUGGAUUGUUUGCCGGCUGUAUUCAUGGCACUACACUGGUAGCGGGCCUUGUCUCCAAGACGAGCACUCUUUAUCUUCAAAACCUGACCCCUGUUGGUGACCUCCAGGUUUGGAUCACCAAGGAACACCAGCCUAGAAACAGAUGUUUUAACUGUUUUUCAACUCAUUUGACCAUUGUUACCAUAAUAGUGAAUGAUAUAUUAUUGGAAGGCACUUACUUCCUGUCCUUGUACCACUGGAUUGCUGGAAAAGGUACACCUUGUACAUUGCAUUCAAGACUGAUCUCCUGUUUUACAAUGGCUGAAACAUCUUGGGGAGAGGCUGACCCCACAAUGGUUGGUGGAACUGGGGCGAAUAAGAUAUUGUAUGUUAUAGAUCUAAUCCCAAAUUACAUUUGUGUAUCAAGGUUUGUUCUGUCUGAAACUAUGCAGACAGUGUUUUUUUCAUUAGGAGUUUCCAUAGACAAUCACUCAAUGUCAUAACUCACCCAGUAUAUCCAGGAAGAAGUCCUUUUCUGUGCUGCCAGCGAUGUUUAUCGCUUUACAGCUGUAGCUGCCUGCAUCUGCUGUGGCUGCCUUGAGUAGUCUCAGGGAUUUUCCCAUGUCAAGAAUCUGGAUGGUGUUACUACCAACUACCUGUCAUUCAAUACAAAUAAAUAAAUCAAACACAAAAGCAAAGACAACAGCAUAAGUUACAAUUUAGGAAAUAGUGCCUGACAGUAAUUAUGGGGCUAAUUGUAAUACAUCAUGAUAAAAGGAUCUAAAAAAAAAAAGAAAAGCUGCUUGUAAUUGAGGCAUGAAAAACAAAAUAUGACUAAGAAAACAUUAAAAGAAAACAUGUUUCUAUUACAGCUUGGAGCAAAAAACAUUCAGAGAGCAUAUUGGAUUGCUCAGAAUUAGCUGAUGAAAGUAAGUGCUCUGAAUUUCCCUUCUGUGCCCAGCAGGAAUCAUGUGUGAAGCAGCCAAGGGAACAGAAAGCAGCCAGCAAAUUAGACGUUACAACAAAGUGUGUGCUCACUCUCUGUUCUUGCAUCAAUUUAUCAUAAUUAUUCUGUCAUGAAUACUUUGAUUGUGCUGCUACUAUGGCUGGCUGAUCAGGUCAGUUCUCUUGGACAGUGCACCCUGUAAUCACAGUUUAUUCUGUCUUUAUGAGAAUUUGUAUUAAAAGAUGACAGGUCAUGAAAA